rnacentral:tRNA from 2 species
CGGGAUGUGGCUCAGCUUGGUAGAGCACCUGACUGGGGGUCAGGGGGUCGCAGGUUCAAAUCCUGUCAUCCCGA